CCCCCCAUCUCCCAGCACCGCCAGGACCCACAAAGGUCUAAAAUCCAACGAGCUUCACCAAGGCAAUGCCCGUGGGGCAUUCCUGCUGCAAAACAUGAUCACCAGCGUUGUUCUCUGGUCCUUUUUCACCUCUCCAAGUGAAACCUUUAGCUCACUGCACAAACCCCUUGGCACUUGGGAACCUCUGGAUGGACAACUCCAGCUCUUGGCCACCAGCAUUGAUAAGAUUUCUCUCCAGGGUAUCACUCUGGAUGCUUCUGGGGUGGAGGAGCAAAAGCAGGGAGGAUGAGGUGAAGGCAGAGCUUGGGAGGGCAAGAAGAAAUCCUCAACAAUAACAA